rnacentral:rRNA from 2 species
CAGGAUGAACGCUGGCGGCGUGCCUAAUACAUGCAAGUCGAGCGAACAGAUAAGGAGCUUGCUCCUUUGACGUUAGCGGCGGACGGGUGAGUAACACGUGGGUAACCUACCUAUAAGACUGGGAUAACUUCGGGAAACCGGAGCUAAUACCGGAUAACAUUUGGAACCGCAUGGUUCUAAAGUGAAAGAUGGUUUUGCUAUCACUUAUAGAUGGACCCGCGCCGUAUUAGCUAGUUGGUAAGGUAACGGCUUACCAAGGCGACGAUACGUAGCCGACCUGAGAGGGUGAUCGGCCACACUGGAACUGAGACACGGUCCAGACUCCUACGGGAGGCAGCAGUAGGGAAUCUUCCGCAAUGGGCGAAAGCCUGACGGAGCAACGCCGCGUGAGUGAUGAAGGGUUUCGGCUCGUAAAACUCUGUUAUUAGGGAAGAACAAACGUGUAAGUAACUGUGCACGUCUUGACGGUACCUAAUCAGAAAGCCACGGCUAACUACGUGCCAGCAGCCGCGGUAAUACGUAGGUGGCAAGCGUUAUCCGGAAUUAUUGGGCGUAAAGCGCGCGUAGGCGGUUUCUUAAGUCUGAUGUGAAAGCCCACGGCUCAACCGUGGAGGGUCAUUGGAAACUGGGAAACUUGAGUGCAGAAGAGGAAAGUGGAAUUCCAUGUGUAGCGGUGAAAUGCGCAGAGAUAUGGAGGAACACCAGUGGCGAAGGCGACUUUCUGGUCUGUAACUGACGCUGAUGUGCGAAAGCGUGGGGAUCAAACAGGAUUAGAUACCCUGGUAGUCCACGCCGUAAACGAUGAGUGCUAAGUGUUAGGGGGUUUCCGCCCCUUAGUGCUGCAGCUAACG